rnacentral:rRNA from 1 species
CCUACGGGUGGCUGCAGUGGGGAAUAUUGGACAAUGGGCGAAAGCCUGAUCCAGCCAUGCCGCGUGUGUGAAGAAGGCCUUCGGGUUGUAAAGCACUUUCAGUGGGGAAGAAAGCCUUGGGGCUAAUACCCUCGAGGAAGGACAUCACCCACAGAAGAAGCACCGGCUAACUCCGUGCCAGCAGCCGCGGUAAUACGGAGGGUGCGAGCGUUAAUCGGAAUUACUGGGCGUAAAGCGCGCGUAGGCGGUCUGAUAAGCCGGUUGUGAAAGCCCCGGGCUCAACCUGGGAACGGCAUCCGGAACUGUCAGGCUAGAGUGCAGGAGAGGAAGGUAGAAUUCCCGGUGUAGCGGUGAAAUGCGUAGAGAUCGGGAGGAAUACCAGUGGCGAAGGCGGCCUUCUGGACUGACACUGACGCUGAGGUGCGAAAGCGUGGGUAGCAAACAGGAUUAGAUACCCCAGUAU